CAAAAGAAGGUUAGUUGUUAAUCUCCUGCUGUGCGAUGGCUUUAAUGGCUGUUUGGUUUUUCACUUAUCUGGGUUCAACCGCAUCAGUAAUGUCCAUCUGGCUCUCCACGAGUGUCGCAGAGUCUCCCCCGAGUCAGACAGGGACACGCUGGGCAUCUACAGGAAGCUGCUGGAGCACCAGCAUGUGGGCUAAUACUGCGAAGCCAUCCUGAUCCUGUAACACCUCCAGAAAGCAGGAGCAGAAGUACUUUCCCCCACAGUGUUUCCUCAGUUGGUAGAAUAUAUCGCAUGUCCAGAUUCAAAUAAAGCAGGGUUACUUUGUUCUGUUGUCAUUAACUCCCACUGUGUCCUUGAUUGUUUUCCAGACAGCGUAAAACAGCCUCAAUGCAGAUAGCGAUGUUUGCCCUCAGCGGUGAGGAGCUACAAAUUGCCAAACAUCACCAGCCAAGAGGUCAGACAGGUUGCUGAGACUGAUUUUACACUCCACUGCCUACUUUACAUCGCUGCUGAGGACGCCCAGUAUCGUGGCCACCGCCAACCUGCCGAACAGUUUAGCUACUCUCUCUCUCUCACAGCUGCUUCCAGUCCAGCUGGUUUUUGUUUGUUUCCCGUCUUGCAGCUCUCCUGUUGAGCCAAGGGAAGAGAAGAGUGGUCGGGGACAGAAGAGAAGCAGAGACGCCGCUGAGCAGGACGACAGGGACGUCGCUGCGUUUCUUCAACACUAUCCCGGGAACAGCGAACGGCCAAGCGCCCACAAAGAAGCAACAGACCGCCGCUGGCUCAGAGUUCAAGACACACCCCCAACUGUCCAGAAGGUCAAAGAGGUCCAAAGGACAUCGUUGCAAAGAGGAAACCAGCCAAGGGGUCCGUGUCUCAGAAGGGAAGUGGACAGGCCGGGCCAUCAAGGAUUUCGGUAGCAGCGAAGGGCAAAGUAUGUAAAACUGCCUGUGAGCAGGAGAACAUUAAUCCAGCAGCCAAACAUCGAGUUAAUUAUAAUCCUAAAACGAAGAAGCACGUUGAUGCCACCUUCUUCUGACCACAGGGGUUGUUGCCACCAAAGACUUUCCCAAAGGCUCCAUCAUUUGUGAUUAUCACAGCAGCACAGGGCAGGGGGAUGAUGGAGGCCGUGUAGGAUGAGCUUUGCGACCUUUUCUUUUUUGCUUUCUCAGUCGGCAGCUGACAACGACAGUCUGCCUCCAUGUUUUUGUCACAUUUGUUCACACGAGAUUCUGGAAGAUCCCGAGUCCCCAGAAAGUGUGUGGUCCUGCGUCUGGACUGAACCGUUCUUAAGAUUUAAAUUUAAAAUAAAAUAGAUAGAUAGAUCUGUUCAAUCGGUUCAGACCGGUUGCCUAUCUGGUGGUAAACACCAGAUAUUAAAAGUAAUGGAAGUCUUUUCAAAAGAAAAGAAAAUAUUUAAUCUGAAAUUAUUCCUAAACAGAAUAAAACCAACUGACUCACUCCCAAGACGUCACAUAUGGACGCUUGGUCAAGAGCCAUAAUCGUCAGUUUGUGACGCACUAGGGAUCCCUUUGACG